rnacentral:lncRNA from 1 species
CUCGAUGGCCUCUCCACCCCUCCUCUUAUAGUCGCGAGGUGCUGAAAUUAGGGGAGGAAUCACGGGCGGCCGAUUGCAGAUGCGGAAGAGGGAACGUCCGGGGUGCGUGAUCGAUGGGAUUGGGUCUCCGGAAUGGAGGCGCUGAUCCGGAUGCGAGGAUGCCGUGGCUGGGCGGAUCGUUGAGGAGAUUGACCACGGACGCGGUGGAUGCUGAUUCGGGAAGGACGUUGGCUGCGGUUCCUUGAUCACAGACGGAUACUUGCUGAUUUGGGAGGCUGAGACAGCGGCUUGAUCACAGCACGGGAUCACGGAGAAGGGAGUCGUCCGGGCUCUUUGCUGGGAGGAGGCGUGGAUCACGGGAUCGCUGGGCGGAUUGCGGAGGAGGGAUUCCGGGAGGACGUGGAUCCGUGGGUGCAGAGGCGGGAUGAGAAGCGACUUGCUAAUUUGGGAGGCUUGGAAGAGGGGCUGGCUGGCUGCUGGAUCGACGGGAGGAAGAAGAACUUGACGCGUGAUCGCUGGGGAUCUUCAUUUGCUUGAAAUCCGGAAUGGCAGCUGGUCUGCAAUGGAGCUACGGGCUGAAGAAGCUGCUGGGAGGAAGAAGAACAGUGAACACCCUAUUAAAAAAAAGUUUCCGUAACACUGUUCAUAUGAACAGUGUUUUCACGUAACACUAUUCAUAUGAACAGUGUUUUCACGAUACACUAUUCAUCUGGAUAGUUUCAUCUCGGAACACUGUUCAUAUGAACAGUGAUUUCAGUAUGAACAGUAACUUCAGGAAUGAAAUAGUAUUUUCAGCUAUCUUCAUAGGAGUGGAGGUUAAAAAGGUCUUUUUCUUUGUGAUGAAGUGAGAGUGGGAAUCUCUAUUCCGAAAGAGUGUGUGUGCUAAUCCGGAAAGGAGGGAAUGCGAUGAUCACUAGGAGAUCGCAUGCGGGCUCGGAUGUUUGGGUACACAUGUACUCGAUCAGAUCACAAGAUUGGGCCCGCGCGGUUUGGGGCCAUGAUGCAUCCCUCUAAUCCCUACCAAAUGCGCAUUUAGACUUUAAUUUAUACUAACAUGUGCCAAACAAAAAUAUAGUAUUAACUUAGUGAUUUUAUCGUUAUAUGUUAGCAGUAAUACUAAUUUAAGCAGCAUGUAGAUCGCACUUUUGUG